UGGGGAAUAUUGCACAAUGGGGGAAACCCUGAUGCAGCGACGCCGCGUGAGCGAAGAAGGCCUUCGGGUCGUAAAGCUCUUUUAUAUGGGAAGAUAAUGACGGUACCAUAAGAAAAAGCCCCGGCUAACUACGUGCCAGCAGCCGCGGUAAUACGUAGGGGGCUAGCGUUGUCCGGAAUCACUGGGCGUAAAGGGUUCGCAGGCGGCAAUGCAAGUCAGAUGUAAAAGGCAAAGGCUCAACCUUUGUAAGCAUCUGAAACUGUAUAGCUUGAGAAGUGUAGAGGCAAGUGGAAUUUUUAGUGUAGCGGUGAAAUGCGUAGAUAUUUGGAAGAACACCGGUGGCGAAGGCGGCCUUCUGGGCCACGACUGACGCUGAGGCGCGAAAGCUAGGGGAGCGAACAGG
rnacentral:rRNA from 1 species